rnacentral:rRNA from 1 species
CGGGUGAGUAACGCGUGGAUAACCUGCCUCACACUGGGGGAUAACAGUUAGAAAUGACUGCUAAUACCGCAUAAGCGCACAGUAUCGCAUGAUACAGUGUGAAAAACUCCGGUGGUACAAGAUGGACCCGCGUCUGAUUAGCUAGUUGGUAAGGUAACGGCUUACCAAGGCGACGAUCAGUAGCCGACCUGAGAGGGUGACCGGCCACAUUGGGACUGAGACACGGCCCAA